AGGCAUGGAGCGGCGAGAGAGGGGCAGGGACUUUAGAAGACUCCUGAGGAGCCAAAGCUACAUGGCAGAAGUAAUAAUAACUAUAGUUAUACCUUAGAAAACACCUAUUGGGUGCUAACACUUGGUGGGGCUCUACACACUUUUUUUUUUUUUUUUUUUUUGGAGAUGGAAUUUCACUCUUGUUGCCCAGACUGGAGUGCAAUGGCGUUAGCUUGGCUCACUGCAACCUCUGCCUCCUGGGUUCAAGCGAUUCUCCUGCCUCAGCCUCCCAAGUAGCUGGGAUUACAGGCAUGCGCAACCAUGCCCAGCUAAUUUUGUAUUUUUUGUAGAGAUGGGAUUUCACUACAUGUCGGCCAGGCUGGUCUCAAACUCCUGACCUCAGGUGAUCCACCCACCUCGGCCUCCCAAAGUGCUGGGAUUAUAGGAGUGAGCCACCGCACCCGACCUCUACACACUUUACAAACUGUUCAUAUCCCAGUUUAAAGAGGAGAAAACUGGGCCUUGAUGAGGUUAGCAGCCCAAAGCCACAGAGUCAGCAGCAGAGCCCAGAACUGCUCAGUUGGCCACCAGGGCCAUGUAGAGCCCAGGCAACAGCAGUAGCGUCAGAUUCUGCCCACUCUCAACAAUCCUGAAAGAACAGCCCCAGGCCUGCAGAGCUGUUAGGUGACCAGAGCAACACACUGGCUUGUCUCUAAGUGUGCCUCCUCAGACACAUGCCCUUCAACAACCAAGUGUAGGCUGUCUGGCCCUGCUUGGUGUGACUGUAAUUUGAGGCGUCACCAAAAUUACAAUCUAACACCAC
rnacentral:lncRNA from 1 species